rnacentral:lncRNA from 1 species
CAGGCUGCCAUGUUGGAGACACCCACAGAGCCAGGAACUGAGAGUGGGCUCUGGGCAACAGCCUGCAAGGAACUUGAGGAUGCUAACAACCACAUGAACUUAGAAGUGCAGCCUUCCCCAGUCAAACCUUGAGAUGCCUACAGACCCUUGACCCCUUGCAUACAGCCUGUGAGAGACCCUGAAACAGAGGACCCAGGAACCUGUGACUCUCGUUGUCUCCAGGAUUUCACCAUAAAUGGAAGAAAAUGAAAAAUUCACACUCAUGUCUGACAACGGGAGACCUCUAGAGGAGAGAGCUCAGCCCACGGGAAUGGGUCACACAUUGUGAAUUAUCAGGCAUGACUGAAGGGAAGACUGGCCCUGAGCUAACAUCCAUGCCCAUCUUCCUCUACUUUAUAUGUGGGACACCUACCACAGCAUGGCUUUUGCCAAGUGGUGCCAUGUCCACACCCGGGAUCCGAACCGGUGAACCCC